UACGAAGGGGGCGAGCGUUGUUCGGAAUUACUGGGCGUAAAGGGCGCGUAGGCGGCCGAGCAAGUUAGAUGUGAAAGUCCUGGGCUUAACCUGGGGACUGCAUUUGAUACUGCUUGGCUUGAAUUCGGGAGAGGAUAGCGGAAUUCCCAGUGUAGAGGUGAAAUUCGUAGAUAUUGGGAAGAACACCGGUGGCGAAGGCGGCUCACUGGCUCAUAUCUGACGCUCAGGCGCGACAGCGUGGGGAUCAAACAGG
rnacentral:rRNA from 1 species